UACGUAGGGGGCGAGCGUUGUCCGGAUUUAUUGGGCGUAAAGAGCGUGUAGGCGGCCAGGUAGGUCUGCUGUGAAAACUCGAGGCUCAACCUCGAGACGUCGGCGGAAACCAUCUGGCUAGAGUCCGGAAGAGGAGAGUGGAAUUCCUGGUGUAGCGGUGAAAUGCGCAGAUAUCAGGAGGAACGCCGGUGGCGAAGGCGGGUCUCUGGGCCGAUACUGACGCUGAGGAGCGAAAGCGUGGGGAGCAAACAGG
rnacentral:rRNA from 1 species